rnacentral:rRNA from 1 species
GAUGAACGCUAGCGAUAGGCUUAACACAUGCAAGUCGAGGGGCAGCAUGGUCUUAGCUUGCUAAGACUGAUGGCGACCGGCGCACGGGUGCGUAACGCGUAUGCAACUUGCCUCACAGAGGGGGAUAACCCGUCGAAAGACGGACUAAUACCGCGUACACUCCAUCUUGGGCAUCCAAGGUAGAGGAAAUGAAAUUCGCUGUGAGAUAGGCAUGCGUCCCAUUAGCUAGUUGGUGAGGUAACGGCUCACCAAGGCGACGAUGGGUAGGGGAACUGAGAGGUUAACCCCCCCCACGGGACUUGGACCAGGGACCAGAUCCUGACGGAGGCAAGAGGUGGGAAAUAUGGGCAAAUGGCGGGGGCCCUAACCAGGCAAAUUGCCGUAAGGAAUACUGUCCUAUGGGAUGUAAACCUUUUUUAUACGGGAAUAACAAGAGUCACGUGUGACUCCCUGCAUGUACCGUAUGAAUAAGCAUCGGCUAACUCCGUG